rnacentral:lncRNA from 1 species
AUGCACGCACUGAGCCAGGACCAAAACGCAGGUCGGCCUCCACGUCCGCCACAGUCACCCAACUCUGUCACCAAACCCCGGAGUGGACCAGCUGCUCUCCUCCCGGCCUCUCAGCCGCCAGCCAUCAGCCUCCAGCCAUCAGCCGCGAGGCCUUCAGCCUCCCACCUUCAGCCUCCCACCGUCAGCCUCCAGCCCCUCAGCCUCCAGCCACUCAACCUCCAGCCCUUCAGGCUCCGGCCCCUCAGCCUCCCGCCCCUCAGCCUCCUGGCCCUCAGCCUCCCGCCCCUCAGCCUCCUGGCCCUCAGCCUCCUGCCCCUCAGCCUCCGGCCCCUCAGCUUCCGGCCCUCAGCCUCCGGCCAUCAGCCUCCAGCCCCUCAGCCUCCGGCCCUCAGUUUCCCGGCCCUCAGCCUCCAGCCCCUCAGCCUCCGGCCACUCAACCUCCAGCCCUUCAGGCUCCGUCCCCUCAGCUUCCGGCCCCUCAGCCUCUGGCCCUCAGCUUCCGGCCAUCAGCUUCCAGCCCUCAGCCUCAGGCCCCUCAACCUCCCGCCCCUCAGUUUCUGGCCCCUUGGCCUCCCGGCCCUCAACCUCCGGCCAUCAGCCUCCUGGCCCCCCGGCCCCCGGUCCUCCAGCCUCCCGGCCCUCAGCCUCCGGCCCCCCAGCCUCUGGGUCCUCAGCCUCCUGUCCCUCAGCCUCCGGCCCUUAGCCUCCCAGUCCUCAGCCUCCAGGUCCUCAGUCUCUGGGCCUCAGUCUCAGGUCCCUCAACCUCCGGCCUCUCAGCCCCCGGUCCUCCAGCCUCCGGCCCCCCAGCCUCCGGGUCCUCAGCCUCCUGGCCCUCAGACUCCCAGCCCUCAACCUCCGGCCCUUCAACAUCCGGCCCCUCAGCCUCCAGCCCUGAGCUUCCGGCCCCUCAGCCUCCGGCUCUCAACCUCUGGCCCCUCAGCCUCCGGCCCCUCAGCCUCCGGCCCCUCAACCUCUGGCCCCUCAGCUUCCCGAUCCUCAGCCUCCCGGCCCCUUAGUUUCCGGCCCCUCAGCCCCCGGUCCUCCAGCCUCCCGGCCCUCAGCCUUCUGGCCCCUUGGCCUCCCGUUCCUCAGCCUCCAGCCCCUUAG